AAGACUAUACUUUCAGGGAUCAUUUCUAUAGUGAUUACCUGGAGAAGCGCGUUCACUCGUGAUCGGUCCCGCCACCCACGAGGAAGAGGUGGAGUGUUCCCUCCUGAGCGCGAAGCGAGCGGGCGGUGCUGCCUUCGGGUAGCUUUGCCGCCCGCUUUUGAUGACCGUUCCGCCUCCCCUUGCUGGGAGGUUGGAGGGAGGGAGCGCAAUCUGAGUGGU